GAUCAGUCUGACACAUCCUAAGUACACGUGUACGAUCGGAAUAAGGCCUCCCACAAAUGGUGAUCGUGCAGGCCACCAUCUUAUAUCAUCUCUUCCAUCAAAAUCCGCAAAAAUCUUUUUUAAAAAAAAAAAUUAAAAAUCUUGCCUGUUCUCAUAGAUCUCGCUGCAAACACCGUCCGUACAAUCUCCGGUAUUAGCUCCGGUGAAUCACUGAAGUAAAGUUUUUCCCUUAUCCGAUCACUGAUCGUUGCUGCGUUCGUAAAUAAACCAAUCGCCUCAUUGCAGAUAAUUUCUUUAGCGAGUGACGGUUUUAGAAUUCUUCACGAAGUUUUACUGUAUCUGCUUCAGUCAGGAGUUGAAAGAUUUUUCUGUUUAUUAUCAAGUUUGUACUUUUAAUCCUUUGUUUAAAGCCACGUGAUGAAUUUUUGAAGUGUUGUGAAUAUAGUUAACUGUUGGACUAGGACAGCAAAGUGGAAUCAAGAAUUGAAUCCAACAUAAAUUUUGAAGUAAGGCAAGAAAAAUGUCUUUCCAGAAUCAGGGCUUUUGGAUGACGAAGGGUGCUGGUUGUAUAAAUGAUGGUGAGAUGGCUUAUGAUAAUUCUUCUAGAAUUGAGCCCAAGCGUUCUCAUCAGUGGUUCAUGGAUGGUCCUGAGACAGACUCAUUUCCUAACAAGAAGCAAGCAGUUGGAGUUCCAACUACCAACUUAUUUUCUGGAGUGUUGAAUUCACAUGUUUCUCAAUGGGGAAAUUCUUCCAGUUUUCAUUCAAUCUCUGGGCAUUUUGCUGAACGAUUAUUUGAUACUGAAACAGCUCGAGCUGUGAAUUUUGAUGAUCAGAGCAUUCCAUCAGGUAGCACAGAGAAAGUUGACAUGGGAAGAAAGGUUAAUGAAGAUCUAUUCGCAAAUGAUUCUUCAUUUGGUUUAUCCAUGUCCCAUACAAUGGAAGAUCCGAGAUCUGGGUUAAAUUAUGGGGGAUUUAGGAAAGUAAAAGUUUGUCAGGUCAAGGACUCUGAGAAUGUCAUGUCUGUGUCAAUGGCGCAUGCAUAUGAUAGGGUGGAUAAUAAUUCUGUGUCAACAGAUCAUGGUUAUAACAAGGUGGAAGAUGGUAAUAUAUCGAUGGGUCUUGCUUAUAACAAAGGGGAUGAGAACCUCAUGUCUAUUGGUGACUCCUAUGAAAGGGAGAAUAAUGUUUUCAUAUCAAUGGGACAAUCAUAUAACAAGAGUGAGGAUAGCAUUACUGUUGGUCAAACAUAUAAAGAAAGUACCAGUGCCAUUGCAAUGAGCAAUACCUUCGAUAAGGGUGAUAACAAUUUCAUGUCCAUGGGCCAAACAUUCAACAGGACAGAUGAUAAUUCCAUAACUGUGGGUCACACCUAUGGUAAAGGAGAUGACAGUGCCAUAUCCAUUAGUCAUAGCUACAACAGAGGUGACAACAAUAAUUUGUCAAUUGGUCCGUCCUAUAGUAAGGGAGAGAGUACUAUUAUCUCUUUUGGUGGCUAUGAUGAUGAUGAGGAUACAAAUCAAACCGGAAGGCUCAUAUCGAGCUAUGAUUUAUUGAUGGGUCAGCCCUCUGUCCAGAGAUCUGAUGCACCAAAUGAGAAAGAGAUGGUUAAAUCCAAUGCUGAUGCACUUGUUCCCACUGGUAACAUAACUGCCUCUGGAAUGGAAGUUUCUAGGAAGAAAGAAGACCCAAAAACAGCAAAAAAGGUUUCUUCAAAUAAUUUCCCUUCUAAUGUCAGAAGUUUGCUAUCAACUGGUAUGCUUGAUGGAGUUCCUGUUAAAUAUAUUGCCUGGUCACGGGAGAAGGAGCUACGUGGUGUUAUAAAGGGUUCUGGGUAUCAAUGUGGCUGUCAGACAUGCAAUUUUUCGAAGGUGAUUAAUGCAUAUGAAUUUGAGCGACAUGCUGGUUGCAAAACAAAACACCCGAAUAAUCACAUCUACUUUGAGAAUGGGAAGACCAUUUAUGGGAUUGUUCAAGAGCUUAGAAGCACACCUCAGACUAUGCUGUUUGAUGUUAUUCAGACAAUAACUGGUUCACCUAUUAACCAGAAAUCCUUCCGGCUUUGGAAAGAGUCCUUUUUAGCUGCCACUCGUGAACUUCAGCGAAUAUAUGGGAAGGAUGAAGGGAAAAAAUUAUCAUAAGCAACCAUGUUCAUUUGUAAGACGCAUGUUCUGAGGAGUACUAAUACCAAUGAUGGUAUUCAACGAGAUCUCCGGUUGAUAUUAGGAGGUGGCUUAUAUUCGGUUUGCCCUUCGUCUCUUUCUUCAACUGAGUCAAUCCAGAAUAAUUUCUUACAUUGAUGGCCUCUGACAAAUGGCUCAUCACAAUUAAAACAAAGUCCUUUAAGCCGCCUCUCCUCCAUUUCAACCCUGGUCAAUUUUUUCACAAAUCUUGUACGAUGUUGAAGUGGUGAAUCAGGGGGUUUUGAUCGUCGAACUUCUGAUAUUGGCGUCCGAGUGGGUUGCCCGUUGCGUUCAUAGAGUCGGGAUAUACUCAUAGCAGUUGCUAAAUCUGACGGAUUGUGGAGCUAUACUUCGACUGCAAUAUAUUCCGCAAGGUCGUUGAUGUAAAGUUCAAUUUUUUGUGCUUGAGUGAGAGUGCUUGCCCGUGAAGCCAAUUGUUCAAAUUUUUCUUGGUGGCAUUGACGUUUGAAUUCAUCUCAAGAAGGUUGUGGCGUGUCAACUUCCAUUUGAAGGAACCAUAGCUGCGCAUUCCCCUCCAAGUGAAAAAAGGUAAGGCUAACCUUUUCUUCUUCGGAUGUUUGUUGGUGGCGAAAGAAAUGCUCGCAUCUGCUCAACCACCCUAAAGGAUCUUCUUGGCCAUUAAAUCGUGAAAAAUCCAACUUUGUGAACUUAGGGAUGAUGGCGCCUCGCCUUGUGGUUUCGGAUUCUGUCCCUCUUGCUACGCCUUUGCUCUUAUGGCUUCGAUUGUUACUGCCCUCCUCUGUAGAUAUUGUAUAACUUCGGAAGCUGCUAAAUCCCUAGUGAGUUCAUCCAGUCAAGCAUUUAUUGCUUCUUGUCAAGCCAAAUUGGCUACACGUUCAUCUUGAAACAAUUGUAAAAGUUGCUGCAAUUGUUGCUGAAUAGGGUCCCCCAUAACAUUAGGCUUUGAUACCAAAUUGAUACGAUCCCUUGAAACGGAUCUAGUUAUGGAACGAUGUGUGGAAGGGUUUAGUUUUGUUUGAGGUACGCUAGGUACUUUGGUGGAAGUUUUCUUUUUUAGACUUAUGUUUGUAGUGCUGGCUCGUUAGAGAGAACCUGCGGAUCUUUUGAGUUUUAAGUACUCAAAAACUUGAAUAGAUUCUGAACAACCCUUUUUUAUUAA